rnacentral:rRNA from 1 species
UACGGAGGGGGCUAGCGUUGUUCGGAAUUACUGGGCGUAAAGCGCACGUAGGCGGCUUUCUAAGUCAGGGGUGAAAUCCUGGAGCUCAACUCCAGAACUGCCUUUGAUACUGGAGAGCUAGAGUCCGGAAGAGGUGAGUGGAACUGCGAGUGUAGAGGUGAAAUUCGUAGAUAUUCGCAAGAACACCAGUGGCGAAGGCGGCUCACUGGUCCGGUACUGACGCUGAGGUGCGAAAGCGUGGGGAGCAAACAGG